rnacentral:rRNA from 1 species
AUUGAACGCUGGCGGCAUGCUUUACACAUGCAAGUCGAACGGCAGCGCGGACUACGUCCUGGCGGUGAGUAGCGAACGGGUGCGUAAUGCAACGGAACGGGCACCGGCGUGGGGGAUAGCGCGGCGAAAGCGGGAUUGAAACCGCAAACGCAUUGCGGGGGAAAGCGAAGGAGCGGGAGCCCUCGCCCUAUUGCCACGGGCGAUGUCGGAUUAGCUAGUUGGUGGGGUAAAGGCUUACCAAGGCGACGAUCCGUAGCUGGUCUGAGAGGAUGACCAGCCACACUGGAACUGAGACACGGUCCAGACUCCUACGGGAGGCAGCAGUGGGGAAUUUUGGACAAUGGGCGCAAGCCUGAUGCAGCCAUGCCGCGUGUGUGAAGAAGGCCUUCGGGUUGUAAACCGCUUUUGUUCGGGAAGAAGGCCGCUGAGCUAAUACCCCGGGGGGAUGACGGUACCGGAAGAAGAAGCACCGGCUAACUCCGUG